rnacentral:lncRNA from 10 species
UUUUAUUUGCUUUUCUCUUUGCCUUGUCUGUACUUUCAGAUUUUUCCACAUGGACUGUCUAUUACUUGUGUAAUCAAGAAACAAUAGAAGUUAAAUAUAUUUUAGAAACUCAUAUGCAGUUAUUAAUUUUGUAAGAGAUGGGGUGAGAGGAUCCAGAAUUUUGCCUCUAUUUAAGCUUUUAUUGAAUUAAAGUCUAAGAGUCUUUCACUGUUGGAAAGCUCUACUCAUUUAAACAUUCUUUCUGAUAUGGAACCAAAAUCUACCUUCCAUCCUUUGGUCCUAAUUUGUCCUAGGGAAUGCCACAAAAUAAGCAAAACCCAUCUCCUCUCCAAUAGAUGGACUUUCAGAUAUUUGGCAAUGGCUAUCAUGUCUCCAUAAAUCUUUCUUCCUCUAGAUUUUCCAUUCCAGUCUUUUUUUCUUUGAGAUAGUUUCCAGACCUUGAUACUAUCCCAUUGGCUUCUGGACAUUUUCCAGUUUAUCAAUAUGUUUAAAGUGUGGCACUCAGAAAUGACCACAACACUCCACCCUUUUUCUACAUUUCAUUCUCAGUUUCUAUAAAUUGUUGUGUUAGAGUUCUCUGACUAAAAAGUAAUUUCGGAAUACUUCCCAGUUCAGUGUGACUGUACUCUGAAUCCUAUCCUAUGAUUAUGCAGAAGGAGCAGGACUGAAAUAAUAAAAAAGAAAGAAAAAUAAUAAUGAAAAAAUUAAGAUUAUAUGAGAGACACUCAAUUAUCUAUCCCUCCAUCUUUUAAUUUCUAAGGUUAUAUAGAUGGAUAAAGCUUUCCAGAUCAAUUUCUCAUCCAGCCUCCUGCAAUUAUUAAAACAUUAGUAGAACUUUUUACCAAACAUUGAAAAAAAAAUGAGAGAGCUUCUCUACUGAUGGGGAAGGCAAAGGAUUCUCUGUAGCUUGGACAAGGAAUUUGAAGAAUCUCUUGUCCUAUACCAUUUUCUACUCUUUGUCCCAGUCGUUGGUACCAGUUUUUCUGGCUUUUGAUCAACAUUAGAGCUGAGUUAGACAAGGUCAAGCUGCAUGCAGAUUGAUUGGCCUCUCAACUGAGAGGCACCCCACAAGAUGAUAGUGAAAGGCCGGGGUUCAUGGUGAUGUGUAGAAUAUCAUUUCUUGUCCUUGGCAUGUUCUCAGCUCUCCUGCUAAACCCAGUGUACACCCUGAUCUUCUUACCAGCCUAAUGAGUCCUUUGCUUUUUAUUCUUUUUGCCAUUCCUCCUACAUAGUAGGCACUUGUUAUUAAAGUGUGAUAAAUAUAUGCACCAGCUCCAAAUAAUACUGAGCCCAACGACUUCCACCAUGCAUAUGGGCCUGUGUGCUUAGUUUUUCAAAAGAGUACUUGCUUAAUUGUAGGUACUGCAUCUUCGUACACAGGAUGCUUUAUAUUUCAUGCUUGCUAAGCAGAAAUAACUUUAAAUCUUCAAUUUUGAAGUUUUAUAUUUAUGCAGCUUUUAUUUUAUUUUUAUUUUUAUUUUUUAUUUUUGAGACAGUCUCACUCACUUUGUUGCCCAGGCUCGAGUGCAUUGUCAUGAUCUCGGCUCACUGCAACCUCUGCCUCCUCAGUUCAAGUGAUUCUCCUGCCUCAGCUUCCCAAGUAGCUGGGAUUAAUUUUUGUAUUUUUUAAUAGAGACAGGGUUUCACAUGUUGGCCAGGCUGGUCUUGAACUCCUGAGCUCAAGUGAUCCUCCUGCCUUACCCUCCCAAAGUGCUGGGAUUACAGGAGUGAGCCAUUGUACCCGGCCUUAUGCAGCUUUUAAAAUCAAUUUUAUUGAGGUAUAAUUUACGUAGUACAAAUUGCAGCCAUUUUAAGCUUACAACUAAGAUACAGACCAUUUCCUUUGCCACAGAAAAUGUCCACUGCCCCUUUGCAGUUAAUCCUCCUCCACACUCACUGCUGGCUCCAGGCUACACUGAUCUACUUUUCAUCACUGUAGAUUAGAUUUUCUUUUUAUAGAACUUCAUAUAUAUGUAAUCACACAAUAUGUACUCUUUUGUGUCUGGUUAUUUUUGCCUGGAAUAAUGUCUUUGAGAUCCAUCUGUGUUGCUUCCUCCAUCAGUAGUUCAUUACUUUUUAUUGCCAAAUCAUAUUUCACUGUAUAUAUGGUACAAUUUGUUUAUCCAUUCAUGUGUUGAUGGACAUUUGGGU